UACGGGGGGAGCAAGCGUUGUUCGGAUUUACUGGGCGUAAAGGGCGCGUAGGCGGCCAGCACAAGUCAGUUGUGAAAUCUCCGAGCUUAACUCGGAAAGGUCAACUGAUACUGUGCGGCUAGAGUGCGGAAGGGGCAACUGGAAUUCUUGGUGUAGCGGUGAAAUGCGUAGAUAUCGAGAGGAACACCUGCGGCGAAGGCGGGUUGCUGGGCCGAUACUGACGCUGAUGCGCGAAAGCGUGGGGAGCAAACAGG
rnacentral:rRNA from 1 species